rnacentral:rRNA from 1 species
AUCAUGGCUCAGGAUGAACGCUGGCGGUCUGCUUAACACAUGCAAGUCGAACGCACCUUUCGGGGUGAGUGGCGGACGGGUGAGCAACGCGUGAGAAUCUGCCUUCAGGUCGGGGACAACCCUUGGAAACGAGGGCUAAUACCGGAUAGGCGGGAACGUGAAAGAUUUAUCGCCUGAAGAGGAGCUCGCGUCUGAUUAGCUAGUUGGUAGGGUAAGAGCCUACCGAGGCGUCGAUCAGUAGCUGGUCUGAGAGGAUGACCAGCCACACUGGGACUGAGACACGGCCCAGACUCCUACGGGAGGCAGCAGUGGGGAAUUUUCCGCAAUGGGCGAAAGCCUGACGGAGCAAGACCGCGUGAGGGAGGAAGGCUCUUGGGUUGUAAACCUCUUUUCUCAGGGAAGAACAAAAUGACGGUACCUGAGGAAUCAGCCUCGGCUAACUCCGUGCCAGCAGCCGCGGUAAUACGGAGGAGGCAAGCGUUAUCCGGAAUUAUUGGGCGUAAAGCGUCCGCAGGUGGCACUUCAAGUCUGUCGUUAAAGACUGGGGCUUAACCCUGGAAAGGCGGUGGAAACUGAAGCGCUAGAGUGUGGUAGGGGUAGAGGGAAUUCCCGGUGUAGCGGUGAAAUGCGUAGAGAUCGGGAAGAACAUCGGUGGCGAAAGCGCUCUACUGGACCACAACUGACACUCAGGGACGAAAGCUAGGGGAGCGAAUGGGAUUAGAUACCCCAGUAGUCCUAGCCGUAAACGAUGGAUACUAGGUGUGGCUUGUAUCGACCCGAGCCGUGCCGUAGCUAACGCGUUAAGUAUCCCGCCUGGGGAGUACGCUCGCAAGAGUGAAACUCAAAG